GUGGCUAUAGCUCAGUCGGUUAGAGCGUCUGAUUGUGGAUCAGAAGGUCGAGGGUUCAAGUCCGUCUAGCCACC
rnacentral:tRNA from 2 species